rnacentral:lncRNA from 1 species
UCUCAUCAUACCAUCCAACACAAAUCAUGUCGUCGCAUCAUAAUCAUGAUAUAGCUAUACAAGUUACAUGGAAUGUCUCAUCAUACAUAAUUUAGUAUUUCUUGAGGCACCGGUUUGUAUCCCUCUCUCGCACUAGAGUGAACCUAAACUAACUACUUUCUGCUUUGGCUCUGCUAACUAACCCUCUCUGGCAGUCGCUCGGAAACCAGUACACCUGGGCCUGACACUCUGGUCACUCGUCGUAUACUCCUGGCGUAGCACUUCUUCGCCAUCGAUGAUCUAUGUACCUACAUCAUCACAUGAGUCGAU